ncrna:unclassified sequences drum RNA
GAGCUGCGAUUCAGUAGGCGUGCCAAGAUUGCGCCGGGCUGAUGAGCUUUGUGUAAGGGUUGUGCGUGUUACCUCAACUUGGCGUUAGACCAUGAAAUAGUUGGUUGACAGAAAACGUACAUU